rnacentral:tRNA from 1 species
GCCGGGAUGGGGUAGCAUGGUUUAUCCUGCGGGACUGUGGAUCCUGCGACUCGUGUUCAAAUCACGGUCCCGGCC